rfam:Thermococcus sp. 5-4, complete genome.
CGGGAUGAUGAUUUCAGCCUUGUCUGAGGCUCGUGAUGAUGGAGUGACGGACUGACC